AUUGUUGUUGAAGGAUGCAAAGAGGCCCACCAGCUUUCAGAGGUGUGGAGAAAUCUGCUGUUGAGCAGCCUUAUAUUAGGUUAUAGAUGAAUAUUUCAGAUUCUUGACUACAUAUAUUUUAGUCUGCUUGCUCCUACAUUUUUGAUAGUAAUUAUAUAGAAAUCGAGUUCUUUGUUGCUUGACAUGUUUGUGAGUAGGAAUGCAAGAUUAGUGUGAGCUUUGCUGAUGAUACGGUCUAGUGAUCUUUCCAUGUAAUCUUAGCUUCAGUGUUUACUUUUGCUGCUUUCACUUGUCUUGUCUUGUAUUCUGUGGAGUGAGUUUUGAUUUAUUUUUGUUGAUAGGAUGGUGGAUCUCAGGCCAUGGUUCUCCAGUUUUAUAUUUCCUCUAUCACCUCAAUUACGAGGCAAUACUAUCAUCGUUUAGGUUGUGCUUUUGAUGGCACUUGUUGCUUUCUGGUGCUGCUUUGUACUCAGAAUUUUUGUAGCUUAUCCUUGUAUGAGUGCUAGUGGUAUAAAGUUGUAUUUCUUUCAUUUGAUGUUAAGAUCACCUCUAUUGUCUUGCAAAUUUCUGACUUGAUUAGAACUACAGUUUAUUAAUCCAAUCCUAUCAA
rnacentral:lncRNA from 1 species